UGCCAGGCCGGGGCCGGCGGCGGAACAGCUUGGGACCCGAAACGCCUCGGCUUUUCUGCGGACCCGCGCCCGGCCGCUGCCGCCGGACGCUUGAAAAGAGGCAGAGUCUUGCUUUGUUGUCCAGGCUGGUCUUGAACUUCUGAGCUCAAGUGAUCCUCCCGCCUUGGCCUCCCAAAGUGCUGAGACUACAGAGAGAGAAUGCUAACGAGCUGUGAAAUGACCAAAGAUCUGGCAGCAGAAGGGAAAAGAAAAAAUAAUGGGAAGAAGAGGAUUUAUCUGACUCAACUGGAGAUGGCUCCCUUCCCUUAUUUAUUGUUGCAUCCUGAAGCUUCCCCCAUGCUGGGCUCAGUGUGAACAAACAGCGCGGGAGAAUGCAACCACUGCAGAGGCAUAUGUUUGAGAUACCUGGCCACUGGAGGUCAUCUCGUCUACUAUAUUCACCGCAGAUAAAGAAUGAAAAGAGAAUACACAACCUUGUGAUUGCUAGCAGUGAAAGCUCAGAGUUAUGACAUAACAGAAUUGGCUCAUGUGACUAUGGAGGCUGAGAUGUCCCAAGAGCUGGAUACCCAGGAGAAGCAAAGAGUGGUUGAUCAUACUGUAAAACUCAAAUGUGAAGGGAAGGCUGGAACCUACUGGAAACUGAAGAUCUAACGAAAAGAAGGAACUUUUAGGAACUAGCAGAGACUUCAAAAUGUUGAGAACUCUCUUUUUUCAUAAGAGAAGAUAAAAACUCUGAUGGUCACACUCAUAAAGACAAAAAACAAAUAAAAAACAAACAAAAACUCAGAAUCACAAGAGCAAAGAAAAUGUAGGUAAAACAAUAACAGAAGAGGUAAAGAAAUUUAUGUGAAUUGGGACACUCUGGGGCACAGAACAGAAGAGGAGAAGAAACAUGAAAGUAAUGCUCUGCACAAGGAUGUCUGACUGUCCUUGAUUCCAAGGGCAUUUAAAAUUAGCCACUGGAUGAGAACCAUGAAAUGCCAUGACUCUUACAGCUCCCAUGAAAGACAUUGGAUGGAACUUAUCCUAACUGGACCAAAUUCUAAAAAAUUUUACAUGAUAUUAUAAUGAGUUGAAAGUUGAAAAAAAAAAGCUCUUCUAGAUUACCAAGAAUAAAACACAAAUUUCUAGCUGACUGAAUUAAUUCUCAUCUCUCUAUAGAAAGAUCAUAGAAAUUUUUUUUAUCAUGCAAAGAAAUAGCUAAAAAUUUACAAAAAUAUAGACGUGCAUUAGGCAGCUCAUGAAUAAAUGCGUUUUUUCCUUUUUUCCUCCAGAAUUUUGUGAUGUUUAUGGUACUUUUCGGCUUUUAAAAUUUUGUAUUUAAUCAGGAUUUAUUACUUCAUUGUAAGUAAAUAUUAAAUUUGUACUCCAUCUUUGUUUGUAAUUUUGUAUAUUUUUCAGUAAAAAGGACUCCCCAGAUUAUGUAAGCUUUAGGCCCCACAAAAUCUAGGCCUGUUGCUGUAUCCUUUCUAGAGCAGUGUUUCUCAAACUUCAAUGUGCAUUUGAAUCUCCUGGGGCUCCUGUUAAAAUAUAGCUUCUGAGAUGAUGCAUUUCUAACAGACUCCCAGGGCUGACACUGCCCAUCUGGGGACCACACUUUGAGAAUCAAAUAUCUAGAACAAUGGUUCUUACCUGGCUGUGCAUUGGGAUCAUUUAUAGUGCUUUUGGAAAAUACAUUGUGUCCAGGUCCCACCCAGUUCUCAGUAGGCUUGGAAUGGGGUCCUACACUUUUUUUUUUUAACUCCACAGUUUGGGAAAGAAGCCUUUUCAUAUAUUGUUGGUGGGAAUACAAAUUGAUACAGCCAUUUUUGAGCUUGAUUUGGCAAUAUCUUCCUUGGAGAAAUCAAAAGCCAGUUGGCAAGCCAGUCUGGAAAAGGCAGUUUACUGAUUCCCACCCGAGGGUCACAAAGCAGGUAUAGAAGGAUGGGCUUUGGCUGAAAUAUAUGAUGGGUACAGGUAUAUUCUCUAUAAUCCAGUAUUUCCACUGCUGAAAACGUAUCCUAGUAACAUUAUACAUAUCAAGCCUACAUAUAAAGUUGGUCAAUUCCAUAUUAUUUGUAGUAGGGGAAAACUGAAAGCAGUCUACAUGCCCAUCAAUAGAUUAUUCAAAUUAUGGAACAGUUUUCCAAUGACAAAACAAUAGCUAAUCUUAGUUAAGCAAUUAUUAUGUUAUGUAAGGUAGACAUUGUUCUACCUUAUUUAUAAGUAUUAAGUUAGUUUUUAUAACUAUCAUAUUUCCAUUUUACAAAUGACAUAAUUUAUAUUAUUGACAUGGGAAGAUGUCCAAGGAUAUAAUAAGCAAAAAGCAAGUAGCAAAACAUUAUGUAUAUUAUGCAUUACCAUUAUAAUAUACUAAAAAGUAAUGCACUUGAUUCUGAUGCACACUCCCCAGUAGGUAACAACUUAUCUAGUGUAAAAAUGAAAGAACAUUCUGGGCCGGGCACGGUGGCUCAUGCCUGUAAUCCCAGCACUUUGGGAGGCCCAGGUGGGCGGAUCACAAGGUCAGGAGAUCGAGACCAUCCUGGCUAACAUGGUGAAACCCCGUCUCUACUAAAAAUA
rnacentral:lncRNA from 1 species